GCCCUGUUUAGCUUCCACGUGCGUUUGUUUACAGUUGGGAAUUUGUAAAGUGAAUGGACUGUAGAUACUUCAGUUAUGAGCUUCAUGAAUUGGGUGUGAUAUGAAAGGUCAUCACUAAUUGUAAGUCUUCUUCUUCUUUUAUAUAGGCAGUACUGCCCGUUUUUCUUCACGGGUGCCUUUCAUUCUGUCCCUAAAUUGUCAUUCUAUACAAUCUAGAUUGUAUAGAUAGAUUGUAAUAAAUGUGGGGUUAAUAAAAAAAAAACAAAUUGUCAUUCAACCUUUUCCUUGGGCAUCCUACACUUCUUCCUAACGUUGACUUGUUCCUGGCUAUUCUUACUAUCCUUAAUUCAGACAUCCUGCUAAUGUGUUGCUUCCACUCUUCUUUUCUGUUCUUUACCCAGGUAUUUAUAUUGUCUACCCCACAUAUGCGUCUGAUUUCCUCACUUCUUACCCUAUCCUGUAGUCUUUUUUCAGCAAUUCUUCUUAAGACCUUCAUUUCGUUGGUCUCCAGAUGUCUUUGUGUUUUGCUUGUAUCUGGUCUUGUUUCGGCUGUGUAAGUCAUAACUGGCCUAAUAACUGACUUUUCAGGCCUUUGUUUCCACUCUUAGUUGUUUGUUUUUCCAAAUUGUAUCGUUUAGAUAUCUAGUCAUUCUACUGGCUUUAAUUAUUUGGUCUUUUGCCCCUUCUUCGAUAUUGUUGUUGAAUUUUAAGUCUAAUCGAAAAAUUGCACCAUUUUUCUUCCCGUAUAUACCACGGUUCUGUCACAGCCUACUACCACUAAUUCUUCUUCUUUGGGUGCCAUCUUCUUAGCGAAGGUUGGCGAUGACUCCUGCAAAGUCUUCUCUAUUUUGGGCUUUCCUUAUUAGACUUUGAACGUCUAAUCCCGGCCAUUCUUUGAUAUUGCGCAGCCUGGUCAUUUGUCGUCUACCUGGGCUGCGUCUUCCUUCUAUUUUUCCUUCUGUAAUAAGAUAGGAUGUUUUAUGUUUCUUGAUAAAUUCUGUGAGUUCAUGUUCUCUAUUCAUACGCCUUAAAACUUCUUCAUUUCUAACGUGGUCGGUCCAUGGAAGUUCUUCUAGAUUAUGUUUAUACCUACCUAAAAAGUUGACAAUACCUUGACAAAUGUUUGGAGUCGAUGUAGAAAGGGGUACUAUGUCACCAAAAAUAUAUAGCCUGGCUGUUGAACUAAUGAAAUAUUCUCUUCGUAUGCAGUUCUUCUGUGGUGCUUGCUUUCAAUAUUUUCGAUAACGAAAAUAUAAUAAAAUACUUAUUUUUCGUGCAGUCAAAGUAUAUGGUCUUCAAAGUUUCUGGAGAGUUUUGCCUAAAACCUUUUCUUAAUUGCUCUUGCUCUUCUCUGUUUACUUUUGUCUAUUAUACUUUUAUGUUAGCAUUGGUAAUAAUAAUUAUAGUGUCUUAUACCACUGCUGUUGCCGUAGCUGCUGUAGAUCUGUAGUAUCUGAUAGUCCGUAGUAUUCACAGAUUUUGGCCAAUAUAAAAAUUUGAAAAGAGAAAUUAGAAAAAGUUUCAAAUAAUUUUACGUAUUGUAAUAAUUUCUGUUCUGAUACUGUCAUGUGAGUAUACUGUCUAUUUGAAGAACUCAUUUUAUGACACUAUCUCUGAAAACCACAAAACUCUUCAAUUGCCACGACUAACUACAAACUAAUGUACCAGGUGUCCCAAUAAGAAUGGUUCUCGUCCAUAUCUCAGAAACCGUUUAUAGUACAGCCACAGUAUAAAGAGGUUCCACAGUAGAACCACUCUCCGAAAAAUUGGAAGUAAAAUCUUUCAACGCGCAGAGCGCCUGCGCAUAUUUCCUGGUCGCCCCAGAACCAUUCUUCGAUUGCUACUCGCGUAGAAACGUACGGGUUAACAGUGCCGUAUUUUGCUUAAACUGAGUUAGUUUUGUAAAUAAUCGUUAGUAUUGUGAAGUUGAACAUGAGUCAAAUUCGAAGUGGUAUUAGUCGGUGUUCAGCGAAAAUGUGCCAGAACAAUUCAAAAAAUUGUUACAGUUUUUUUCCGAUUUCCCAAGGAAGCUGAUAGAGCACGAAAUUGGGCAAUGUUGUGCCAGAGAGAAGAUUUGUUAAACAAGAAAACAAACAUAAAUUUGAACAGAUUAUGCAGUGUGCAUUUUGAAAAUAGUAUGUUUUCAAAUAAAACUCGGACAGGUUGUGUAAAAACGCAGUACCACGUUUAUUUCCUUCAAUAGAAGACAGUCCAAACCAACAUUCGAAUGUUGAUCAAGAUGAUGAAAAUAGUUUUGAUCCAGUAAAUGAGGAACAACGGGAAGAAUUAGCUACCGUACCGCUAGUUGGAGAGGACAGCGAAGUUGUUCUACAAAAAAAUCAACAAACUCAAACUUUAGAAAGUGUAUCGACCUAUAGCCCUAAAAAAACAAGCUAAGAAAGACUAUAAAGCAAUUGCAAAACAGGAAUUUUCGAUUAAAAAAAAUUGCAAAAACUACAAGAUUCUGGAAAACCCGAUUAUCUUAAAAACGUUACAUUGGAAAAUUAUAAAUCACUAACGGAUAAAUUUUGUUCUGCCAAUAAAAAUUUAGCUAAUUUUAUUAAUAUGCAAUAUAUGUACAAUGUAUUAAAAACCAUUAAGAUUUAAAACUUGCGCAAUACCGUUGAAAUAUAAACAUUGAAUUGUAAUAUUGUUUUUCAUGUAUUAAACCUUUUGUUUUUGUAAUAUUAACAUUUAGUAAGAACAUCUGGACAUUUAAAUAUGAGAAGCCGCAUUUUUUAUUUUAAUAAAUAAUAGUAGUAGGCCCAGAAAGUUUUAGUACGGCUCUGUAAGGUUAAUCAAAGGAGCGUGCGGCCUCCGCCUGCAUCCACCACUGGUGAAUUACCAAUUUCGUGCUUUGCCGGUAUUACUUCUUGAGAACAAAGCGCCGACAGAAGAGUGAUUUUACUGUGGAACCUCUAUAUACUGUGGUACAGCUUUGAGAAAAAAAUAUUUAUAACAGAAGUUGCCUCGGGAAAAGCCUGGAAAUUAUUUUCAUAAUCGUAGGUCCACCACUAGAGGGCGUAAUUGAAUAUCAAAAAUUAAAAAAUCAAAAUUUUACAAAAUUUACCUAAUGAAAGGGCACUGGAAAUCCAAUCAUCGUAUUCUUCAUAAAA
rnacentral:lncRNA from 1 species